rnacentral:rRNA from 1 species
AACGAACGCUGGCGGCAGGCUUAACACAUGCAAGUCGAGCGCCCCGCAAGGGGAGCGGCAGACGGGUGAGUAACGCGUGGGAAUCUACCCAUCUCUACGGAAUAACGCAUGGAAACGUGUGCUAAUACCGUAUACGUCCUUCGGGAGAAAGAUUUGUCGGAGAUGGAUGAGCCCGCGUUGGAUUAGCUAGUUGGUGGGGUAAAGGCCUACCAAGGCGACGAUCCACAGCUGGUCUGAGAGGAUGAUCAGCCACACUGGGACUGAGACACGGCCCAGACUCCUACGGGAGGCAGCAGGGGGGAAUAUUGGACAAUGGGCGCAAGCCUGAUCCAGCCAUGCCGCGUGAGUGAUGAAGGCCCUAGGGUUGUAAAGCUCUUUCACCGGUGAAGAUAAUGACGGUAACCGGAGAAGAAGCCCCGGCUAACUUCGUGCCAGCAGCCGCAGUAAGAC